CACUUUCAUAAUUAUGGGAACAAUUAUCAUAGGAAAAUCUAUUUUACCGACGUGACCAAGUAGCGUUUCCAUGAUUGGCCGCAAGAUGGCCGCGGAGCGCAACCGUGCACCUGUAGUAAUAGCACGUGCUAUAAGGCUAAAUCGUGAUCCAAUAGUUUCCCGCUUUUUAACGGGCAACGUAAAGGCUUGUGAAUCGUUGGGAAGGAUAGGAGAUAUUAUCGAAGCUGAAGCGGAGGAAACGAUAAGGAAUGAAUCACCCGGAUUCCAUGGAAGAAGUGUCGUAGAGUAAG
rnacentral:lncRNA from 1 species